GCAGCCGGCUAUUACUUUAUUUACAAAUUCGCAGGAGAAGAUGGCGGCGCGGAAAGCGGGGAACUGGACGGGGAAGAUCUCGUAGGCCGCGGAGAGGAGGGCGGCGGCCGCCACCACCGAAGGGUUGGAUAAAUUCAUUACCGCUUUGGGUUUUGAGGAUGAUCUGCGUCGCGUGGGAUUUGAGGGCUCGAAUCAAAGGUUCUUGAGUAGGCGUGAAGAAGGAAACAAAGAAUCGAAAGAAGGAGAACGGAGUGAUCGGUCGCAUUCUCCAAUCCAAGGUCCCGAGUACUAGCAGCUCCAUACGCCGAACUGUUUGGCCAUCGAAGAUGAUUCCUUUCGCCCCCUGUGAUAUCGAACUGUGAGAUGGAUUGAUUCAACAACGAAAUCUUGUCAGGGGAAAAGAGACGGAUUUACAGUACUUGGAUAUCUGCGAGCAUCAAUCUGCUCUUCUUCAUCUUCGAGGCGAGGGAGAGACACGAGAUGGAGAAUAGACGGACGAUCCAUGGCUUCUCCUGCUGCAACCGAAGUGAUUAACAACCUACAUUGUGAUCAAACCCCCCACAUUGCAACUCAUUCCUACCGAGAUUUCGCGCUUGCAAAGGAAUCGAUCGAUGUAGUUGAUCGCAAGGUAAGCGACAGAAGGGUCGAGAUUGCAGUCGAACUGUGCCUGCCCACCGAAACACACAUCGCCCAAAUGAAAAACCAAACGAACCCAACAAAAAAAAUAUCAUCUUUUUCUUCACUUUACCUGCAGGACCAGAGCGACGGCAUCCCUCCGGGCGGCAAUGUCGAUAGUGCCGACGGAGGUGAUCAUGUGGUCGGAUUCCGCGGCGAAGAGCUCGGCAAAGGAGCCGGAGUGCUGCUGCUCGUCAUUGCAGCCGGAGUAGAAGCAUCCAUACGGAGACCGGUAAAGGACAAUGAAGAAGAAAGGAGUGGAAUGGGGGUGGUUUAUAGCUAGGCGAACAGACUGUAAAGAGAGGGAUGCCAAUUAAACAGGGGAGGA